CGGGCUGGACCUCUCGGGGUUCAGCCUUGCUGAAUUAUUCACCCUUGUCUUUUGCGUACUUCUUGUUUCCUUGGUGGGUUCGCCCACCACUAGGACAACCAUAAACCUUUUGUAAUUGCAAUCAGCGUCAGUAACAAAUUAAUAAUUACAACUUUCAACAACGGAUCUCUUGGUUCUGGCAUCGAUGAAGAACGCAGCGAAAUGCGAUAAGUAGUGUGAAUUGCAGAAUUCAGUGAAUCAUCGAAUCUUUGAACGCACAUUGCGCCCUUUGGUAUUCCAAAGGGCAUGCCUGUUCGAGCGUCAUUUGUACCCUCAAGCUUUGCUUGGUGUUGGGCGUCUUGUCUCUAGCUUUGCUGGAGACUCGCCUUAAAGUAAUUGGCAGCCGGCCUACUGGUUUCGGAGCGCAGCACAAGUCGCACUCUCUAUCAGCAAAGGUCUAGCAUCCAUUAAGCCUUUUUUUCAACUUUUGAC
rnacentral:rRNA from 1 species